rnacentral:lncRNA from 1 species
CAACAAUCACGAGUUUUUGUUAAUAUUUUUUCCUUUUUCUAUAUGCACUUAAUAUUUAUUGUAUAUUAUAUAGUUUUAAAGGGAUGGUAAAAGGCGUUGACUGCUGAUAUCAGAACCACUAUCUUUAUAAAUGAAAUCGGCAAAAGAUUAUAAUAAACUGUCUUGGCGAGGUGGCAGAGCGGAAAUGGAAAUAAUGGUUUUUUGCUAGAAUUCACUAUAAAUUUUAAUGCAUUUCCGGGAAAGUAACUGCCAUCUCUUGAUGUGCUAUAUCGGAGAUUAAAUAAAUUAUCGAAUAUCGGAUGUAAAACAUGUGGUUUGUUUUGUCUUCUCUUGUCGUUCCAGGUUUGCAGUCUGAUUUUAUCCCGUUUGGAUUGUUUUUCAAAAAUAGAACAGAAUUUUCGAAAUUUGAUGCAGACUUAUGGAAGAAUGGCAGAUCUAUUUCUAGGUCUUUCUAUCAGGUACAAAUCUUAUUUAAUAUAAUUAAUGCAUCAUAUGAUGUACAUAAAAACCUUAUGAAAUGUUAACAUGUAGUCAUCUGUUUCAUUUAUCGAUAAAUGACACCUGUUAUUAAUCGAAACAAAAGGAUUCGUAAUAAAUUUAGGCAAUAGUUUCCAUCUUGUUUUUGUCACGCCCACAUCGAAAAUUAUUUCUGUCUGUUAAAGACGAUAGGAGUUAAGUGGCAGACGAAAAAAUAGCAGCAGGCUAGUGACCUAAUUGCAUUAAUUUGUCUACAGUUCUUCUGUUUUAACGUAUAGCUUGAGAGGACAGUACAGUACUUAAAUUGCUAGUUAAACUAAAACUGCAGAAAUCAUCAAAUUAAUUUUCUCUGUACUGUAUUUAAAAACCACACGAAUUAAAUAACAGUUGUAUGAAGGUCGU